ensembl:lncRNA
CUGUAAUUAAGAAGUCUAACUAUAGAUGUCUAGAAGAGUACCUAAGUGAUUAAAGUUGGAUCAUAUUUUCAAAUGUGAUAAAUAUUCUUAAUAUACUCUUUUUUUUUUUUCAUUUAACUGGCCUGGGUAAAUUUGCAUAACUAAUGAAAGUUAUACAGCCCACAACACAGCUCCCUAUCCCCUAGGUAUUUCUAUGAAUAUCUUUGAGGCUGUUUAUGUUGAAUACUAUUUAUGAAUAAUGAAUGCUUUUUCUCUCUUUCUUCCUUUCUGUAGCCCAUCCUUAUACUGCAAGGCACUGUUAAAAUAGCCUGCAUACUCAAUAAAUGGCUUCUGUACAACAGCUUAUUAGAAAAAAAACACCCUGAUUCAACAAACACAAAAUUACAUCUUCAUAAAUGCAAUCAGAAGAAAACAACAGAGGAAACAGAGAAGAAUCACAGGAACUGUACAUGCUGCUCGUUGAAGGUAUUCAGUUGUCCUCCUACUCUUCUGCCGUUAGAUGACACAACGAGAAGGCCUCACCAUAUGCUAGCACCAUGCUCUUGGACUUAUCAGCCUCUAGAACUGGUGACGAUUCAUGGCCAUGUUUAAUCUGUAACAACUUGCAAAUGUCUGUAACGAGAUAUUUCUCUAGACCUCCAGACUUGAAUACUGUACUGCCUGCUUGACACGUAUACCUGGAUGCUUCAUAGGCAUGAGGGCUGACUUCAUGGUAUGUGACGUGUGUGUUCACACAGGAUCUCACAUUGUAGGGAUCCCAUGCCUGGUUUAAUGAUAUGCUAUUGCAGUCUUAAAAUUUGUAAUAAUUUUUUAAUAAGUACUCCGGAUUUUUAUUUUCUACUGACUCGUAUGUAGUCAAUCCUGACUGCUAUCUUUUUGGUUUUGUUAUUUUUUGUUUUGAGAUAGAGCCUCAAUCUGUUAUCCAGGCUGGAGUGCAGUGGCACGAUCUCAGCUCACUGCACCUUCUGCCUCACAGGUUCAAGCGCUUCUCCUGCCUCAGCCUGCUGAGUAGCUGGGAUUACAUGUGGGCACCAACAUGCCUGGCUAAUUUUUGUAUUUUUAGUAGAGACAGAGUUUUACCAUGUUGAUCAGGCUGGUCUCUAACUUCUGACCUUGUGAUCCACCUACCUUGGCCUCCCAAAAUGCUGAGUUUACAGGCCAAAGCCACCACGCCCAGCCCUGACUGCUAUCUUAAUGGCAACCUCUUCCUUCUUCAGUGUUUCUUAGCUAAUUAAACAGGAAUAAAUCUCUUUAACAUAAAACUGAGGACCAAAUUUGACUUCUUAACUUUUGUUUGCAAAGCACUUACAGCACACUUUGUUAUUGCAUUUAUCGCUCAUAGAAUUACUUGUUCAAAAUUUGUCUUCAUUUUCAGAAUGUAGGUUUAUCAUCUCUUGAGGCAGAGAACCUCUUUAUUCAUGUCAUUUUUCCAGUCUUUAUAAAGAAUAUGGCAAUAUAAAAAACUUAGUAUGUUUUGGAUGAAUGUAGAAACAAAUGAAUAAAAAAUGUGUCAGAUUUUACGUAAAGGGAAAUUACCUUUGGGGAAAAAAACACAAGUCACAUAGAAUGUAUAAUUGAAAUACGUUUGUGUUUUUUUCAGAAAUAAUGAUAAGGGGAGUAUCUAUCAGAUCUUAUGACAAAACAGCACUGGUGGCUCCGAGGGAAGCCACCUUAUUUCAUAAAGAUAUGGGAUAUAGUUGUGAUACUAUUUUUAUUUCAUGUCUUGAUGCCAAAAAAUAGUAAGGAAACUGAUUAGAAUCAAGCAUGAUAAAUACAGAAGGAUAUUCAUGGUUCAUGGAUGGAGCUACAUUCGUGAAAGACAUGAUGGUCAUAAAUUAAUUACCAAGCUCAUGGAGAAAAGAAGACUGAGAAACAAGUUUGAUAAACUUGUUUGUAUUAUUGUUGUGAUAAUUAUAUAAAAUAAUAGAGGCCUUCAUAAAAUAAAAGUUUGGUUGGGUAUGAAAAACCUAGAAGCAAGACAAAGAAACAUUGAACUAAUAUGAGAUAAUAAUGUAGGAAAGGCAAGACAGAAAACUGAUUUCUAACAGAACAUAAAAUAAUUUGAAAGGGCAAGGUAGGCAUUUAGUCUUUGAGGACUAUAAUUCUUUGAUCAAAGGCUGAUUUCUCAGAGCUCUAGUGCAUGCAGGUAACAGGUGGAUGCUAUUCCAACUGCUUUUUUUGUUGUGCCUGAAACGCGUGAUAGGUUAUGGAGGGCUAACACCUGAUAAGCCCAUUUGUUAUUUGACUCUCUUUAAGACAGUUUUUGAUCAGAAAUCCCAUCAUUACCAUUAGAAUAAGAAAAAUAAAGUCCAUUUCACACCUUUUAAUUCUUCAACUUUCAUUCUUUAUCAAAGUUUAUCAUAAACCAAGUAAUCUUGUAAAAACCUCCUUCACUUUGUUCAUUUUCUUUUUUUUUUAAAUUGCAUUUUAGGU